GGGUGUCGAGGGACGGGGCCGCCUCCAUGCGCUUGCGCGUGGAGCACUCCGCGAUGGCCUCUGGGAGAUGUAGUCUUUCCUUGGCUUUCCUUUCCAGAUUCCAAGAAUGGCAAGACUAAAAAUUUACAUGACUUUGCUUCUGAGGAAAAGACUUGGGUCUUCUCCCAAGGAGACUCAUUCCUUAGAUGGUGCUCUGGGCCUAGAGUUCUCUAUCUAUUGCUUUCCUGUGAAACGUCAGUGUCUGGGUACUCUCACCCUCUAAAAGAGGAAAGUAACAUUAUUUAUAAGGACAGAACCACAGAUACUCUGACGAACAAAAGUCGCAGUUCAGAAACAUGAGAUCAUUUAAUGAGAGUCAGAGAGGACGUCCAUUCGGUCCUUCUUUCCCUGUUUCGACACUCUGUAUUCUUCCUCCGUGCCUCAUUGGUGUUUUUAGACAGAAAACCUGUUCUGAUGAUAUAAGGAAAGGACGUAAAGAUUUGGUAUUGUAUUCAUAGUGGACCCCAAGCUUUUUUUUCCCUCUCAUAUAAGAUGAAUUUAUUUCUUCCAUGUAUUCACGAUGUUGAGACACAUGCCAGGCACUGGACCAGACUCUAUGUAGACGGUACUGAGAGAAACAGGCAUGGGCCUUCCUUGUUCCCAGGAAACACCUAUUUAGUAAGCUUCAUCGUGAAGUCUAAAUGAAAUAAUCCCAUCACUCAGUGCUUUCUACUGGCGAUGGUUGCUCCUCCUGUGCUCUCCUCUCUUGAAGUGUAACUGACAUCAGAGACAAUAACAAGCAGAGAGCACACUCAAAAGCAGCCACUUGCUGCUCCCAACCACCACCCUCUUUCCACGUCCCUCUUCUAACGGAUGUCUUAACUUUGGCAUUACUGAUACUUGGGACCUGAUAGUUCCUUCUUGGAGCUGGGUUCUGUUCUGCGCACUGUUGACUCCUCAGAAGCAGCCCUAUCCACCCACUAGAAGCCAGUAGCUCACCACCAGCCUGGGGCACGACAACCAGAAUACCUCCAGAUAUUGUCACAGGUCCCCUCGGACUCAAAACCACCACUGACUGAGAACUAUCUGGGGGAAGGGCUGCCCGCUCUAGGAGCCCCAGCUGUGGAAAAGAGCCAUAACCUGUCUCACUCUGGUUAUGUUGACCUGCUGGUGGACGAUCAAAAUGACAGACCUCUCGGUGAGGAGACAGUGUUCCCUUCCUGUGGUCAUGUUAUUGGCUACUGAAGAAGAAAAAAAAAUCUAUCUCUGGAUGGAUCGCUUACCCUGUCACGAACAUCCUGGGGUUUGUUCUACAUGUUAAGGGCCUCUCUCCUCUCCUUGGUCUCUCUUUUUUCCACAUUCAAAGUGAGCAGUAUCUCCAGUGAGAUCACAGGCUGCAAAAUUCUGUCAGCCCUUUUAAAUAUCACACUCGGCACAACAUUUAAGAAAUGGAUGUUCAUCAAAUUCAGGGAGACCCAAAAGGAGAAGUAAGUAUUCACAGGCCACAGUGGGGGUGGGGAGGACUUCUCUAGACUUUGAAAGAGGGACUGCUUUUUUCAGGAGUUGGCUAGGCUAUACGGGUUUUCCCAUUGUGUAUUGGUAACAACCACCCCCAUCCCAGCCAAGGACAUUACUGGAUAGAGGUGGGAGGAAAUUCUGCUCCCCACCCCCACCCUCUUUUAUUGGUCACUCUGCCAGGUGUGGUGGCUCCACACCCUUAAUCCCAGCACUCAGGAGGCACAUACAGGCAGUUUCCUAUGAGUUUUGGUCUCUAUGGUGAGCUCCAGGACAGCCAGAAUUACACAGAAAGGCCCUGUCCCAGAAAACAGAAACAAAAAAACUAACAUCGUCCACUCAGAACAACUGUUAGUUGAACGUCAAACCUAUAUAAGGUCAGGUGUGUUGGUGCAAGCCUUUAAUUCCAGCACACUGGAAGACAGGAGACAGACAGACAGACAGAUCUUUGGGAGUUCAAGACCAGCCUGGUCUACACACUGAAUUAGUGAGUUCCAGGUCAACCAGGGCUGUAUUGUGAGACCUUGUCCGGUUGGGAAGGAAGAAAAAGCAGAUUAUGAGUCUAAAAGUUCACUUCCACCACCACUGGCAGAAUUCUUUAAAGUAUCCAGCUGCAAAUUCCAAGGGCCCUGGGAAUGUAAGUCACUUUCACAGCGCCUGAUAGUCUAAAGGAUCCACUGACAGGUAAAACCCGUGUGGCCCACAGUGGGGAGAUGAUGAGGAACCUGAGCAUACCCAUGAAUUGAAACUGCCUUUGGGGGGUUGGGGAUUUAGCUCAGCGGUAGAGCGCUUGCCUAGCAAGCGCAAGGCCCUGGGUUCGGUCCCCAGCUCCGAAAAAAAAGAACCAAAAAAAAAAAAAAAAAUGCCUUUGGUUUUGUUGAUCACAGUACAGAACCAAAUAGAAGGUCAGUGAAAAAAAGGCUGGACAGGUGUCCCAGCUGACCCCACAAGAGUCCCCAAAAGGCCACCUGCACAUGAGGAAAGUGACAGCUGAUACAUGUACAGAAAUCUCCAGGCUUUUCCGUUUGCAAUUGAGCAGGCUGCAAUCCACGAGCAACACACACACACACACACACACACACACACACGCCCCAAGCUCUGUAUUAGCCAGGGGGAGCCCAGAGGCAGCCAUGGCUUUGCAAUAGUUCAGAUGAAGCCAAUUUGCACUACAAACGUGGUUGGGAAAACAGGAAAGCAAGAGUUUCAUGUCUACAGAGCUGAGAGGUUCCCAAGUCUCCAGUUCCACCCUCUCAGUAAGGAAAGUCAGUCUCUCUGUUUCCCUUCCUCUAACCCUCCCCCUCUCCCUCUCCAUUCGAAAACUGCGAAAGUCCGGCAGCUCUACCACAAUCGAGGGAGGAUGAGGACAGUCUGUCUCUGAAGAGGAAAGCCAAGCUCUCUACUCAUAGGGUCCUUCCUGCCCCUCCAAUCGCUAGUUCAGUUCAGCAGAUGGAAAUUUCCAAGUGAUGUACGCAUACAUGGAGGCUGAUUAGCAUAUCAUUCUGCAUGCAGACAGGUGACACGGAGAAAGGAGGCAAGGUCGAGUUCAGUUACAAGUCCAUCGUCAUUGUUAGGGACACCGGGGGUUGUUGGUGUUCUAAAUCUCCAAAGUGCUUACCGUGCAGGCACAGCUUUCAGCAUUAAUCUUUAAGGCUUUCAGAUAAUCAAGGUUUGGACAAGGGAGCGUGAGUUCCGAGGUCUUAGCAAUCAACUGUAUUAACAGUUACCCAUUUUUCCACCCUCACCCGGCUCCCACAUGCAGACAGCAGCCUCUUCCCUUCCUCUUCCUCCAGGGCUCAGAAACGUGAAGAGCCACAGAAAAUCUUGGCUCUGCCCAGUGAGUCAGCCUUGUCUAACUUUGUGCGUAAGCUCUCAAGUCAGCGGCAGCUCGGGAGCAGCGGGGCUGUGUGCAGUCGAGAUAAAUUUGGGUCUAAAGGGAUGACGUAAUGCUAAACCCGAGAGGUGGCUGCCGUCUCCCAGGGCUCCAGUCGCCAGGGCUGCCGGCUGACUUCCCAACCACAUGGAAACGCACCAAGCGACCCAGGUGCCCAGGCUGGGGAGACAGGGAGGGGGUAGCGGCAGAGGAGGCGGUGGGUAAUUCCAGAUCGCUGAAUCUGGAAGUUUCUUGUGUUUAACUCCAGUUUUUCUAGUGAGAUCAGACCACUGGCAAAGGCUCAAACAGCUGCACUUGACUUCCAUCCUGACCCAUCUCUUGCUUAGAAAGGAGCUUUUAAAAAAAAAUAUUUUUUUAAUUUACAUUCCAGUCCCCCCUCCUGCCCACCCCUCAGCUCCUCCUCCCAUUCCUCCUUCCCCUUGCCUCUGAGGGCUUUCUACAUUAUAUUAAAUGGCCCUUAUUACUGAUUAUUUCGGUGAUAAUACUGGUGAACUAAACUCUCCUUCCUCCUUCUGUUUUUUGUUUUGGGGGUUUUGUUUUGUUUUUUUGUUUGGCUGGUUUUUUGGUUUUGUGUGUGUGUGUGUGUGUGUGUGUGUGUGUGUGUGUGUGUGUGUGUGUGUGUUUGUGUGUGUUUUGCAUAUACUUGGAUCCAGGAAGUCUGCAUUGCAGGAUUCAGUUAAUGUGCGCCUAAGUGGCUUGCUCACCCUGGAGAACACCCCUCGAACCCAGACUUGGUGGGGGGCACCAUGGGGCUGGUGGGGUGCUAAGAACUCGAAAGGGUUUUGCUAGAGUGGCUUCAUCCAGUGAAUGUUUCCCCAAAAUGUUUCAUAGUUUGUGUUGUGGACGUUUCUCAGCCCAAGUGCCCAUCUUCUUCAGUUCAGAACAUCCAGGCUCGGAGGAAUAUGUCCACGUACCAAAAGCCACACACACAGCUGGCACACUGGUGGGGAAAGGAUUGAAACCUAGGCCUAGAGAUGUAUGCUACCUUCUUGUCUCUAGAAUUUCUUUUUCUGAAUGACUUAUGUUUAAAAGAAAGGAAAAUGGAUGGACACACACACACACACACACACACACACACACACUUACACAUGCACACUCACUCUAAAGCCGAGUUAAGUUUUCUGAUCUUUUAGACCAGUGGGGCCCCAACCUCAAUGCUUUAAAUGUUACGAUUAAGUUAAAUUCUUAAAGGGUCCCAAGGCAUCCCAAAUCUGCUUUUGCUGUUCAAGGUUCAUUUUUUUCCCCACAGAAAGGUUACUCCACCAGCCGCUUCUCUGGCGCUGAUGACCAUAAGCCUCAGACCCUCGCUAAUAAAAUAGCUCCAAUCCCCAGGUCUCAUGCAGCCCCCACACAGCCGCCUUCCUUGGAAUGUCUCCUGAGGCCUUUUCUCAACCUCCGUAGUCAACGCUGGUGCCACAGAACCCUCCCUCCCCCGUAGUUUGUUUUUGCAGUCAUUGAUGCUGGAAGAUCUCAUGAUGUCAACCACGCUUGUGCAUAAGACCUGCUCAACGAGCUCUACUCAGGACAAGAGGAGGUCAGCCAGCCCCUGUGCUGUCUGACAGGAACCAUCUGAGCCACACACCAUCACUGCAACAACUGGGAGGGACCGCAAGCCCAUCUCGGAAACCCACACUGCCUUUGUCUUUUGCCUUCUCUUCGGAAGCCCUUGGCGCCGAGUACCAGCCAGCCCAGUUGCCCUACAAGCUGGGGCGUCCCAGAAAGUCCUGGAGCCUCACAGGGUGUGGAUCCACAGCCUCCGCAGCCGGCCUGUAGUGCCACAGGUGCCCUACUGGUCGGGCGAGUUUCUCAGAGGGUGCUGGCAAGGUGGCUCGAGCAAGUAAGCAAAACUACCCCAGACCAUCAGCCUCCAGGGAAUGGCUUUUGUGUCAAUGCUGGGGAAACCCUGGAAGCUUCUGGUGGCUUCUCUCCACCCUAGGAUGAAUGGGGAGAAAAGGAAGUCCCUCUAGGGAGAUAUCUUCCUGGAGCCCUCAGCCUGUAACUCAAACACUCCAGACUCCAUUUCUUGCCUCUUGUUAACUUGGAGCUCCCUGAGGCUUCUCUCCCAACCCCCUAAGGAAGAACAGUGGGUUUAAGUUCCACGGGGCCCUAUUGCUGUUAGCAUGUGGCCUUGGGAAAGUGAGCCAGCCUUGCUAAGCUGAAGCUCUGGGUAGCUAUAAAAAUGGAGGUAAUUACAGCACCUGCCCAUGGGAUGUUUGUGAGGACUUAAUGCAGAGCGCUUAGCAUUGUGCAGCACAUAGUAAAUGCUCAGUAAAAGGGGGGGGGGUAUUAGCACCCCCCCAGGAGAACAGGAAGGAGCCCGAACUUGUCUCUUGGGAGGGAGCUGGGUAUCAGACUCCCAGGAGACAGCCUGGGAGAACUGUCCACUGGUUUCUAUUUGGCUAACACUUGAACCAGAACAUGCACCUGAACUGGAGAGCUUCGCUCUCAGGGUACCAAGCAGAGUUUGGCUCCUGGCCGUUUUAGAUAUUUCUUGUUGCAUGAAGCUAAAUUCCAUGAUUGGUUAAAAAAAAAAAGUAUGAGGGAGAGUUUCGUGCGAGGCAGUCAGAGUUUAAGAGACUAAGAGACAUGGCUGGGACCGACAGGCUGCUGUAGGAGGUAACUGGGGGGCCAUUCUGUAGCUCUGGUCCCUCAGAGAUAAAAACAAGGAGUCCAUCAGUUCCCGGGCUAGAAGUUACACAGCCCGGGCCUGCCCUCUACUCUAAUACAAUAGAUUGCCUAUUGGAGCUCCAAACCUUCUUCACUUUUGUGUCCUUGUAGCAACAAUAAAUAUACAAAGUAAAACAUUUCAGCUAACUAGAUAGGCCAAAUCUCUCCUUUCUGAUUUAAGCUUGAAUUCUCCUAAUCACGUCCUCCCUCAGGACAGCAUGGUUAUCGUUCUAAUUUUCUGUGCUUCAGUUCCUCAGGGGACAUCGGAGCAGGGUGGCCAAGGGCAUGCUAUGUGGGCAGUGGGUGGGUAGUGUGACUUGUAAAAAGGACGCUCAAGUGCAGAAGGCCCGCCAGAUCUGUUGAAGUUAGCCGGGGUUGAACAAAAAACACAAAGCAUUUUAAAUGUUCGGUUGUGGGCUAGGGUAGGGGAGAGUACAUAGGAAACCCAGGCACGCAUGCACACAUACACACACAUACACACACACUCACCCACUCACAAACAUACACACAUGCACCCACACACACACACAUACACACAUGCACCCACACACACACAUACACACAAACACACACACUCACACAUACACACAUACACACAAACACACACACAUACACACAUGCACCCACACACACACACACAAACACACAAAUACACACAAACACACACAUACACACAUGCACCCACACACACAUACACACAUACACACACAUGCACACAUGCCCCCACACACACUCACACAUACACACACACAUACACACAAACACACACAUACACACAUGCACCCACACACACACACACAUUCACACACAUACACAUACACACAAACACACAUACACACAUGCACCCACACACACACAUACACACAUACACACACAUGCACACAUGCACCCACACACACUGACACAUACACACACAUACACACAAACACACACACAUACACACAUGCACCCACACACACACACAUUCACACACAUACACAUACACACAAACACACAUACACAUACACACACACGCACACACAUACACACAUGCACCUACACACACUCACACAUUCACACACAAACACACACACACAUACUCACACAAAGGGGUUUCUCUGUAUAGUCCUGGAACAUACUCUGUAGAUCAGGCUAGCCUAGAAUUCAGAGCUCAGCCUGCCUCUGCCUCCCCAGUGCUGGAAUUAAAGGUGUGCACCACAGUGUCUGGCCGGGACUCCUCUUGGAGCUUCAGGAUGAGUUUUUAUUCUCUCCAUAAAGGGGGAAUAGAGCCAAAGACACAAAUCUCAAGUCAGACCCUGCACCCCACUGUUGGUCAGGACUCAGUUCGGGACAACUGAAUUCCUCAGGAGAGAUGUGGCUCAGCUCAGUUGGUGGGCACUUGUCUACCAUGCAUGACUGCUGUGUUUGAUUCCCCAGCACCCCAUAACCGGAUACGGGGUACAUGCCUAUAAUCCCAGCACAAGGUGAAUCACAAGUCCAAUGUCAUCUUCAGCCACAGAGUUUCAUGGCUAGCCUGGACUACAUAAGACCCUUUUCCUAAAGGGUAACUAAAAUCUUUAACCCUGACAGUGAAAGUGAGUACACACUCCAUGAAGGUAACAACUGCUAGAACCUAGCACUGGGCCUACCUUACGGUAAAGGUAAACUCCAAAAAUAACAGUUUAACAAACAAAUGGCUAACGUCAGUACUGAUUUAGGGAGAAACUCCUCAUCCACGAUGUAACUCUGACUUACUAAACUUUUGUUGCCACAAAAGCCUUCGAGAGGCAUUUCUCUGGUCUAAAGUAUUUUGAAAGGAUCCUGUUUAUGUGUUUCCUGGAGGCUUCUUGCUUAAAGCAAGAGUCACCUGUACUUUCAAAAUGUUUCACAAGUGAGGGGCCCAGCCCGGCAUCCUGCCCAGAUGAGGAAGCAGAAAUGGAGCCUCCAGCCCAGGAUCACAAUGGCAGGUGCCCAUCGGUCUGACCCAGAGAAACAAAGUCAGCCUUUGAAGGCUUUAAGACCUCUGACCAUGCCGCCCAGAGACGAUGGGGUCAGAGACAGUGGCUGCUGUAAGUUUAGAAAACACCCAGAGAGUAGGCCCCCUUCUGCUCCCCAUCCUAGUCUUUCCUUCCUCUCUCUGUCUCCCUCCCUCUCUUCUCUUCUCUCCCUUCCCCAGACUGAGUCUAGAACCCCACUCAAUGUCCUUGCUUAGGUUGCCAAUGGCCGACGGCGUCGACUGCUCCUGUCUCCCUCCCCGCCACCCCUCAUGUGUGAGAGAAAAUAUUUUUCUUAGUACAGCAAAGUCAAAUUAGCUUCAUUUUGAAAGAGUACUGAGAAUGUUGCAAUGGCCUCGGCAAAAACCGGACACGCCCUGGGCUCAGUAAACCAGGCCUGAGAACUGCUGAGUUUAUGAGCACCUGACCUGCACAAGAGCUGUUUGGGGCUCUAUCUGUGACCCAGUCUCCUGUCACAUAGAUGAGAACACAGAAAGUUCUGCCUCCGCUCUGUCACUGUGGACGAGUCACUGUCGCUCUCUGGGCCUCUACCUCAGUGCUCUGUGGUGAAGAUGCUCUCCCUGUGGCUGCUGGGGGCAGCCUGUGGUCACAGAGCUGCUUUACCACCUGCCUCCUUUAAACCCAAACCCGAAAGUGGAGGGCAAGAAGGAAUGGGGUUCCUCCCGUGGGCUGGAAACCUCUUGCUUCGUUCUGCGGAAUGGCUCAUUUCUUACUCAGUUGUCUGUCUUUGCUUCUUUCCUCCCUUCCCUUCCUUGAAGAAAAAGAAACCAAAAAAGCCACAAAACCACAACUCACCUCCCCAAAACGGGUCACUUGGAAACCAGGGCUGUGUGGGGUUAGGUGUGCCAGGCCUGACAUGCUGGUGGUAUCUAAGCGAAGACCAAGCCAGGGCGAGCAUGUGUUUCUCCUCCAGAAACCCGGUUUAAAUCAAUAUUUAUCCAACUGUAUUUAUAGAAAGUGGUGGUAGGAAUAGGGGGUGGGGCGGGUAGGCAGGGGGAUCUAAAACUGUACAAGCCACAAUGACUGAUGUAAAUCUUAAUCUUGGUGGCCAAUUCCCUUCUGCAGGACCCAGCUCUUUUUUUUUUUUUUUUUUUUUUUUUUUUGGCAAAAGACUCAGCAUUUGAUGAACCUGCUGUUGGCCUCAGUACCAUAGCAACAGCCCUAAGUCCUCUAAUAUGCCCACAGGACAGACUAGGGAUAAGGCAACAGGAGGGGGGCGGGUAGUUAGUGUUUCCUGGGAGCCCUGAACUUGAGUUAAGGCCAGGAUGGUUGAAUAACUAGGAAUGGGGGGUGGGGGUGGGGAGAACCAACCCUCUCUGGUUGGCUACUCUGACUUAAGUCCCACUUUGCCACACACGGUUGUACAGGAAGACUGGAAAUUCAACAAGGUGUUCCAAAUACCAGCUCUGUUUCACGUUGCUGGGUGACCUCGAGCAAGUCAUUUCAAACCCGCCUGGACUUCAUUCCUUGGCUAUAAAACGAGUACACGUGUAUAAGGUGAAGCCAUAUGGGCUCUGGAGCUGGAGGCCCAGGUGGCAAACAGCUCUCCCACCUACUAGCCACAUGAUCAUUGGGGAAGUUACCCAGCAUCCCUGCGCCUCAGUUCCUCAACCCCUACUGCCAAACAGAGGUCAUAAAACUGCACGUGCUACGGGGUGGCUCUGGACUGGGGGAAGAUAACUCCUGGCUGGUCCUCACGCUAAACCCUGUCAGGAUUCAGUAAGUGGUGGCCAGCGAUGGUAUUAUGUAAAUAUGGUUGGAAGUCGCAGCCCUGAUAUGCUGGCACCUUCUAUUUCCCGGCUUCCCCUCUAGACGUUUGCUUACCCAUCUCCAAAUGAAGACCCAUUCCUGGGUGGGGAGCAGUGGGAGUGUUGCCGUUAGCGGAUAGCGGAUAGCUGGAUAUGGGAUAGCGUGUGAGUACCUGCUGCUUCUUGAUGGAGCCUCCUUCCCUGAACCUCCAUAGUGACAACUCAAUUCAACCUCUUUAAUUUCCUGAAUUCCCGCCUUCAGCCCCUGGGCGCCCUUCACAGGGUACCCUGUACCUGGAAACUCUGGAGUCCCGAAAGCCAUAUUCUCCCCUACUCCCGGCAUCUACCACGUCUUAAACCUGCACCGAAUCCAAAAACUCAGUUUAAAACGUGGACAAAAUGGGGGCCUGACUUAGCAAUGAUCUUUACACAUCUCUUUUAAAAAUGACCCCCCUACCUCUCCACCCCACUGGGAUUCACCCCACAGAGUUUGCAGGGGUGAAACGGCGAUCACAGAAUAGACGACCGGACCCCGGUGCUGAUUAUGGAUCAGAGGGUUCAUCCGAAGAUGCCUCCCGUGUAGAGCUGUAACCUGUUAGAACAUCAAUGCCUUCUGUUUCAGCACAGGUCAUUCCAGUGCCUACUUCCUAAGCAAGGACUUUUCAUUCUUCAGAUCACAGCUGUUGGCAGUAGACUCAGCUGGUGGUGGUGGGGGAGACAGGGCAGAGACAGGUAAAUCCCAGGAGUUCACUGGCCAAUGAUUCUAGCCAAUGACUAAGCUCCAGGUUCAUUAAGAGACGAUCUCAAAAGAUACCUCUGGCCUCCACGGGGCACACAUGAGAGAAGCGUGCACACACACACCUAACACACCACUGAAUGUCUGUAUAUACCACACACACACACACACACACACACACACACACACACACAGACACACACAAGAUGUUGUUAUUUUCCCUGCAAAGACAAAGCUAACACCUGGGAAACAAGUAGAAGCUUGUGAGAGCUCAGGGAAUAGCUUUUUAAACAAUUAUGUAUACAUGUGACUCUCUCUCUCUCUCUCUCUCUCUCUCUCUCUCUGCGUUUUGUGUGUGUGUGUGUGUGUGUGUGUGUGUGUGUGUGUGCAUGUACCAAGUGCAUAGAGGUGCCAAAGAAGGUAUUGCAUCUCCAGGGGCCAGAGGCAAGGCAGUUGUGACCUGACCAUUGUGUGUGCCAGAGACAGGACUCGGCUGCUCUGUAAAAGCACCACAACCUGUAACUGCCAAGCCAUCUCUCCAGCCCCAUAAGUCACCAUUCCCUGAGCACGCGCUGUGCUUCAGGGGCUUGAAAUGUUUAAAACCGGUGAUUCAGUCGCUCUGUGAUGAUGUAAGGGAGGUCAUUAUCAUUAUGUCCACACAAUGCAGCCUCAGAGAGGCUGAGUAACUUGUGUCCAAACAACAGUAGGAAUCUGGACCUCUGAUCCUUCUGACCGCCACGCAUCGCGCCCUCUCAACUCAUCUGACUCGAAAUUAGCACCCAGUGAGCUGAAACAGCCAAUCGGCUUCAAGGAGGAGGCAGGGAUCAGCCUCCUUCGUGAAGGAAGGGUAGGAGACAGAAACCCUGGGGAGUAGGAGAAUGAGGGCGUCCUCCACUGAGUCAAGCACAGGGUCAUGACUGUGAAGCCUGCUAGCUGGUGGACCUGCUGGACUGGAGUUGAGGUUUCAUGGCCAGGCAGAGGAGAUUAAGUCAGGAAGGCAGGGUGGGGCCAAAGAACAACCACACCGAAGUAACUUCCACCACCAGCUUCCUACAACAGGAAGAAGCUGCUUCUUUGGGGCCUACCUGUUCCCCUAGGAACACACCCUACCUCAAACCCAGGCAGUCUACUCCAGAAAGUAAACUGUGGCUUCUAUUCCCACCUAAUUACUUUCCCUGUCUGAUGCUACCUCCAAAGACCUGCCCCAAACACUGGAAGCCAUCUUGCCCCUCCAGGUCUAGGCUACCACCACUUAUGGGGGCGGUGGUGGGGUGGGGUGGGCUUACUUGUUUUUGGGACUUAUAUGUGCAUGUUUCCCGUACAUCUGUGGAAAGGCCCAUGGAGACCAGAAGUGUUAGGAUGAGUUACAGGUGGCUGUGAGAUGCCCAACAUGGGCAUCGAGAUCUCCAAGGGCAGUGUGCCCUCUUAACUACAGAGACACUUGAUGCCACAGGUCAUCUCUGAGUCUGUGAUAACAGGGCCACUGCCUACAUGUUAAAUAUUUCCGGAAGCUUUUGAGAUUCAUAGAUUCAUACCAGGUGACAUUUUAAGAGUCUGUACCUAUAUUCCUUCCCUUGCAUGCAGUUGCAGGGUCAACACUGAGUAACUAUUUGAACUCCUCUCUCAAGAAACAUCACCCCAUCUCAUGGAAAGAAUUCAUCACUGCGGCCAAAACUUGGUGAACACUCCCAGUACGGAAACCUCAAAGAGGCAAUAAAAAGAAGUUCUGGCUACAGUGGAAAAUAAGCCAAGCUCCCGCCAAGUUGAGUACUUUGCAAACAGUGAAAACCAAACGUUGAACGCGUGAUCAGACGCUACCGGCGCAUCUCGAGAACAGCUCAGCGAACCCGAAAUGGAGUCGAAAGGGCAGGCAUUUGUCUGAGAGAAGAGAGCCCCUUUAAGAAAAGACUGGACCAGCUGGCUGCACUACAGCGCCUAGAGAUUUCCUGGCUCCGCCCCCCAGCCUCCGGCCUCAGCAACGCGUGACGUCAGGAGAGGCGGAUGCUGCCGAUUGGCUGGACGAUACAGCUAGGUCAAGUCCAGUCGGAGGAAAGAAGUUUGUCUCCAUGUGGAAACCAUGUGUCUAGUACUGGGAGGGGGAGGAGGAGGAGGCGGAGAAACUGAGAUCAAGUGAUUACAGGGGAACUCGCUGAAAUGAAGGCGGGGAGGUUGUGCACCUGAAUCAGCCAGCCAUACCCUUUGCAGUAGUGACCUAAAAAAAAAAAUAAAAAUAAAAAAGACUCACACAACAAAAA